rnacentral:sRNA from 1 species
CUGAAAUAGUUACUAGCUGGUUGAUGGAUGAAU